rnacentral:SRP_RNA from 1 species
GCCAGGCAUGGUGGCUCAUGCCUAUAAUCCCAAUUACUCAGGAGGCUGAGGUGGGAGAAUCGCUUGAGCCCAGGAGUCUGAGGCUGCAGUAAGCUAGAUCACACUACUGCACUCCAGCCUGGGCAACACAGUGAGACAUCGUCUCUU